rnacentral:rRNA from 1 species
GACGAACGCUGGCGGCGUGCCUAACACAUGCAAGUCGAGCGGAGACAUGUUGCGGAAGUUUUCGGAUGGAAGCGAUAUGUUUUAGCGGCGGACGGGUGAGUAACGCGUGAGCAACCUUUCCUUCACAGGGGAAUAACGCACCGAAAGGUGCACUAAUACCGCAUGAGACCACAGCUCUGCAUGGAGCAGUGGCUAAAAGAGAAUCGGAUACGGAUAGGCUCGCGUGACAUUAGCUAGUUGGAGUGGUAACGGCACACCAAGGCGACGAUGUCUAGGGGUUCUGAGAGGAAGGUCCCCCACACUGGGACUGAGACACGGCCCAG